GGCAUUGUGAUUAAAGCAGCUCUUUGUUCUCUGCAGGUGACUGGAACAGUAACCAUCCUGCUCAUGAGGAAGCCAGAAGAGACUACAGAAGAGAAAAUGGAAGAGAUGGACAAAGAGCUGCAGAGGUCUUCUGCCACAAGGUGUUCCACCUCAUUGGUUCUGCUGACUGACCUUGGAAUCUCCAUUUGGUCCACUCCUGCUUCUGGACUGAAGCUCAGCAAGUGACCUCAUCCCCACCAGCUGGGACAGGAACAUUCUAAAAAUGAAGGUUCCCCAAAGCUUUUCCUCCUUUUCUCUCACUGCUGAUCUUUUCGUGACUUGCCAAGAGGAAGAGAAAAAAGACAAGUCCAUUUGGCUGCGUAUUGGGGCAACCCAUUUCAUGAAAUGAGAAAGGCUGAAAUAAAUGUUUAAACCAGAUCUAUCACCACUCCUAGUUUCUUUCCCACAUAGCAAUCUGAGUUCUUUUAAAAAUUAAAUAUGAUUUUAUCAGGCUCUUGCUUAAAACCCUUCAUGG
rnacentral:lncRNA from 1 species